UACGAUCUUCGGCAAGCUUUC
rnacentral:piRNA from 1 species